rnacentral:rRNA from 1 species
UACGUAGGGGGCGAGCGUUGUCCGGAAUCAUUGGGCGUAAAGAGCGUGUAGGUGGACUGGAAGGUCUGUGUGAAGACCGGGGCCUGCACCCGACGGGUGCACUGGAAACCAACAGUCUUGAGUCCGGAAGAGGAGAGUGGAAUUCCUGGUGUAGCGGUGGAAUGCGCAGAUAUCAGGAGGAACACCAAUGGCGAAGGCAGCUCUCUGGUACGUGACUGACACUGAGACGCGAAAGCGUGGGGAGCCGAACAGG